AUACGAAGGGAGCAAGCGUUAUUCGGAAUUACUGGGCGUAAAGGGCGUGUAGGCGGUCUGUUAAGUCAGUUGUUAAAGCCCAUGGCUUACCCAUGGAUAGGCAAUUGAUACUGGUAGACUAAGAGGGCAAGAGAGAGAAGUGGAAUUCUCGGAGUAGCGGUAAAAUGCGUAGAUCUCGAGAGGAACACCGAUGGCGAAGGCAGCUUCUUGGCUUGUACCUGACGCUGAGGCGCGAAAGCGUGGGGAGCAAACAGGAUUAGAUACCCUGGUAGUCCACGCCGUAAACGAUGAUCACUAGAUGUUGGCCCCGCUUGCGGGAUCAGUGUCACAGCUAACGCGUUAAGUGAUCCGCCUGGGGAGUACGGUCGCAAGAUUAAA
rnacentral:rRNA from 1 species